CUUGAACUCCUGAGAUCAAGUGAUCUUCCCACUUCAGUCUCCGAAAGUGCUGGGAUUACAGCGUCUCUUCGAAGAUUUCCCUGGGGAGAAGCACUGUGUUUACCCAGAAGGGAGUCGGGUUCCCCAGGAGCUCUCGGGGAUCAUUCCCCAGCGAUGGGGAAGACAGCAGGAUGCAGGAGGACUUGGGGCCUUAUUGAUGAGAUGCGGACACACAGCGAAGAGAUGUCUCGGUUGGAGCUCAUUUUAAGCCAUCAAGAGCCCUGGACAUGGCUGGACAAGGUGGCUCAUGCUUGUAAUCCAAGCACUUUGGGAGGCAGAGACAGAAAGAUCUCUUGAGCCCAGGAGUUCAAGACCAGCCUAGCACGUUUUCCCCACCUUUUCCUGUCAGUAACCUGUCCUUCAAGUUUUUGCCUGGACAUCACCUCCUCCAGGAAACCUUCCCUGAACACCACCCAGCCUCCACCUGCUGCGGUUGGAUUACUCAUUCUGUCAUAUAAGAAAACCGAGGCUCAGAAUGGAAGUUCAUUGCUCAACAUCAAACACCCAGGAAAUGAUGGCGCCUGAAUGGGAGCUCAACUUCCAACAUGGCCCAUCCCUUGCUGACCUCACUGGGUCUGUCUUAUGACAGUAUGAGCACCCCGCCCAGACCAGAGAAUAUAGGAGGUACUUAAAUAAAUAAAUAAAUACCAGUCUGCAAACCUCUGGCAUCCACAGAUUCAGUCCUGACUUAAUCUCUGAGCUGUUCCACCCUGCAGUAUGAUAGAAAGAACUAGAAAGAACUUGGCUUCAUGAGUCAGCCCAACCCAGAUUUGAAUCCUGGCUGCCCACCCUGUGACUUCGGGUAAGUGACUUCAUUUUUCUGAGUCUGACUUUGCCCCUCUCCAAAGUGGAAGAGAGCAAAACCUAUUUAUCGAGGCAAAUGGGAGGAUCAAAUAAAUUUAUCAAUGGAAAAUUGAUGGGCACAUAACAGGCACUGAAUUAACAUUAGUUCCCUGAGCCCAUCACCCAGGGAAUAAAGAAGCAGCUCCCAUAUUUUUUUUCUGCAUUUAGUGUGGUGUGGCAGGUGCUUCACAGAUUUUGUCUGUAUUCCUCAUAUCGGUCCAGGUGAAGACUGCCAUCCCCACUUUAUUUUUAGUUUUUGCCCCCUGCCUCAUCAUCGCCAUUUUAUAGAUGAAAACGUGGAGGUUUUAAAAAAGGCUAGAUCCCUUGAGCAAAGUCACAGAGCUAAGGAGUCAGAAGUGUCAGAAUUCAGCCGGGCAUGGUGGCUCAAGCCUGCAGUCCCAGCACUUUGGGAGACUGAGGU